UAAAUGAGCGACGCAAAUAACAAAUUUUCAGCAUUUCAGAUUUUGUUAUUCGCGUCGCAUUUUUAUUAUAAAGUGACGCAAAUAACUCUGUUGCACUUUAGGUUAUUCUUUUUUACCUUAGCUUUUCACGCCUACCUUUCACUAAUUCACUAAACAUAAAGAAAAAAAAAAUUGCAACAAAUUCAACAUCCAAAAUCGACCCUUCAAUCCAACAAAUUCGCCCAAAAAACACCCACAAAUUCGCCCAAAAAACUGCAAUUCCCCAGCAAAUUCAACAUCCAAAAUCGCAAUCAAGUUCAACACCCAUAAUCGGCAGCAAAUCCGAGCAAUUUCGAGCAAAAAUUUAGACCAAAAACCCUAAUUAAUUAGAAUCCUUAAACCCCAGAAAAAUUGAUUAUUUUCGACCAAAAAUCCCCCAUUUCGAGCAAAAAAUGUACUCAAUUCCAUACGAAUUCGAACCCUAGAAACCCCAAAAAAUUCAAUUAAAAAUCCUGCUGAAAAAUUCGAGCAAUAACUGAAAUUUUCGAGUGGAAAAUUCGUUGAAUUUUCGCCCCCAAAAACCCGAGGAAGUUCAAGCAAAUUACAGCAAUGUUGAAUUUUUGAAUUUUUGAGUGGAAAAAUCGCUUAAUUUCGUCCCCAAAAAUCGAUUUCGGCUCGACAUUGUUGAAUUUUUGAAAUCAAGUUCACCUAUGGCAUCAUCAUAAUGGGCGAUGGGUAGCACAAAUUGGGCGCGUUUAUGAGAACAAGUACCACUACUUAGGCACUUUCAGUAAUGUCCUGAACUCUAUUUCUCUCGUGCUUGCUCUUGUUCUAUGAGAUUUAGGAUCACGAGCACACACGCUUGAUAAAUAUUUCAUUUUUGUUUGAUAAAUACAAUUUGAUGUUAGCUACAAUCUUGAAUUAAAACUUUCCUCUUGUAUAUUUGUUGUGUUUAUAGGAUUUUUCAAGAACUACACUGUACACCGAGGAGGAGAUAAAUGAGAUCUGAGAUAUUUGGGCAGAGUAUUUUAUAUGUAAUGUUGAACUUUAGAUUUACCACUUAGCACAUGUUUGACUCUUGUUUUGGAUUAUAGGCUUGAAAUGAAGUAAUUUGGUUAAUUGGUGUUGGGAUGGUGAGUAUAAUGUCUAUGAUAUUGAGAUGUAAAUUAUUGGACAGGUUGUUAAUAUAAUGCCGUCAUUCCCAAUUUUAUGGGUAGGCCAAAUUACAAAGGAGACUCUGCCGAAAUUUACAUUUGCAUUAUUCAAUAAUAUUGCAUUUUAAUUUCAA